CGCACGAAAAAAACCAUCCUCUCGAUCCACCCCUCGUGCGACCGCUCUCUUCCCCUCUCCUCCCGAUGCGGCGCUGCCCCCAUCUCUUGCUCCGCCGCCGCCCGUCACCUCCUCGGCCUCCCCGCCGCCCCCUCCGCACGACGCCUCACCGGACAUCGAUCUCGCCCCUAAGGACUCAACUCCGCCGGCCUCGCCAUCCUCUCCAUCACUGUGGUCACGGUCUCUGGCGCCGGCACGGACGUUGGCGGCGGUAAGGCGAGGGCUCGCGGCGAGGGAAGCACCGUGGAGCCACUCGAUUCCGCGCCUCCACCGACCGCAGCCUCCUCUGUUCAAUCCACCCCUCCACCAUCCAACGCCUCUCUCUCCCUGGCCUCCCGAUCCCAGCCGCCAGGAGGCACCCCACCCCGCGCGACGCUCGAUCCGGUGUCGCGCCGAUCUGGCGGCGGGUGCAGCGUCUUGCUCCGAUGGCGACGACAUCCUGCUGAUCCAGGGAAAGGGAGAGACAGGGCGUAAGGGAGAGAGGAAAGAGAGGAAGAAAGGAGAAGGAGAAGGGGCACAAGGCGAGGAAGGCGGUCGCGGGCGGUGGCGGCUCUGGUGACCGGCCGGCGGGUAGGGAGACGAGCUCCUGUUGAGGCGGCGGGGCUCGGUGCGGGCUGGUUCCGCCGGAUCGAGCCUUGGCUCUCCCAAGGCGGCGGUUGCGGGCUUGGAUCAGGGUGGUCCUUCUCCCCCGCCCUCCCCCUCCAUGGCCAAUGGCACAAGGUGCGGCGACCUCUUCGGCCCCCUGCCAUGGCUCCUGUCUCUCCCCCCCACCAGUGCCCUCCUUACCCCUUCCCCACUCCCGGCUGAUCCCCAAGGCUGCACCCUCCCGCUUUCAUUAGAUCUGGUCCGGACAGGACCGAGUUCCCCCGAUGGCCUUGAUAGAGCUGUGCGAGGAUGAGGAGACCAUCACCUGCUCUAGCUGCGCAAGGCCACGCAGAGAGGCCGACCUCAUCCUCCAUCAAGGUCUUGACUCCAAUCUUCGGACAGAACAAUGUAAUAUAUAUAUGCAGCUUGCAGUCUUUGUCACCCUGUGACAAAUCUGGGUCCUAUGCAUACUAAAUGUGCAUCUUGGCCUGGCUCUUGGCACACGCACAAUCCAUCAGAUGAACAUAGCACUCUUGGAGUACUCAUGUAUUUCCUAGAGCAAUAUUACUUACAUUUAGUUUCAUGCCAUCAUGGAAAUUCAGACGGGCGUUUCGCAGAGUGUUCAGAAUAAUACUUUGCAAGGGACAGCAGCAUGAUGUCAAGCAGCAGCAGCAGCAGCAGCAGCAGGUUCUGCAGCUUCGACGACCCUGGUGAGUCCACGGUCGUGCUCAACUCCUGCCAGGAGGGCGCGAAGGAGUUUCCCCUUGAACCCCAUGACCUGAUUCUCAGAUCGGAUUGAAGGUGUAUCUGUAUUUUACUUGUGCAACAUGAAGAUUUCAGAAGUUGAAGCGAAUGGAAAGAUAGAAGAGGGUUUGAAAAAUAGGGAGAACAUCCAACAACGGGUAAGAAUUAUUUGUAUAUUGAUAUUGAGAAAUUACAUCUUUGUUUGAUUGAGCAUUUUUAGCUGGAGCUGCAGUGCAACCAUGGUACUAGAUGCUGGUUUGCCUCUUCUCUUCUAACUUAAUAAGAUCUGAUGUGUUUGUGCUUAAAUGAUUCUUGAUGAUGAGCUGAUAUGAUUAGUAGAUAUCUGAAACUAAUGGAUCAUAUAUCAGGCGUCAAAUCUGAAUUUUCACGCGUGUGCACUAAUGAAUUUUCACGCAUGUGCACUAAUGGGUCAUAUAUCAGGCUUGUCUGAAUUGAUUUGUGGAUAUGCUGCACUUCACGGUUUUACUUCUACCCACAGUAACAUCUCUUGACUAUUACAUGAUCAAUGUAUUCGUGAGGAAUUGCAGGUUUUCUUUGCCUCAAAGGUGCACACAUACUGUAGUUAGCCAUUGAUGGUUUUGUGGCUUCAGCCAUGAUACUAAAACGGUUCUCAAUUUUGUGAUUCAUUGUAGUCAAUGGGUACCACAUAUUUGUUUCGAUAGAAGGUGACAUGUUUCUACUUCUUACACUACAAUCGGCCCCGUAGAUGGACAUAAAGGAUAUUUGCCUGAUGAAAAUGUGCUUUUGAGUGCAGUGAAUUUUGCCUGAUAUGUAUUCUUGAUGUAUGGUGGAUGGGAAAGAGCGAUGCGGCCUUUCUGUUGAUCCAUCGCCAAUUGCUCCUGAUCUUUCCCUUCACAUCAGCCCUCUGUCGCCGGUGGAUGGCAAAGGAGAGGUGCGGCUGGGGCUCCAUGAGGCGGCCGCAAAGAAGCAAUGUGAUGGUUUUGUUUGCCUAUUGGUAUCUCAGCGUGGGUUCUUGAGCCUGAACGGGUAAUUAUAAGUAGUAACUGAUAAAAUCAGAUGGUCUCUUGCAAAUUGCUUUUGGGGAGGCUGCAUGGUGUUUCUUUGAUGCCCUUUUCCGCUGUCAUUAAAAGAAUAGAAAGCCAUACAAAUGUAUCCAAACGUUGUGUUUGUACUAAAUUUAAUUUUCAUUUGUGCAUAUUUAAGAUUAA